UAAAGAAGCAGUGAAAAUACUUUAAAUAAAGUUGUAGGAAAAAAAAAGUUUAUGCACACUUUUUUCCUUUUCAGAAGCUAAAAAGCAGAGCAAGUAUAAAUUCUGGGCUCCUAAAUCAAAUUUCAGAGACUUCAUUGCAUCAAAAUGGGCUUAUUUGCUCCCUGAUGUCUGUUUGUCCUUUACUAUAGGGGCUCCCAAACACACCAAAUGCUAGCGGAGCUCCAGGUCUACUUUGGAGGCUGGAGACUACUUUGUUCACUGGCAUUUGACUAGGACCCUGAGGUCACAGCUUGCUUUUAUGAUGUGGAGACAAUGACUCUAAGUGAUGAAUGGAGAGCUUGCUAAUUGAACUUGAAGCAUUAAAUGUUCUCCUGAAAGCACUCAACCUAAUGAGGUAACAAAAGCUCCAGAGGACAAAAAUUAAGCAAAGCAAGUUAGUUCUUGAAUGAAACUCUUGAAACCCCAAUUUGAGACAAUAAAGAAGAAGGAAAAGGAAAAAAAAUUAGAAAAAGGAAAAAUGACAGAAUAUGAGGUCUUUAUUGAUUUUUUUAAAGUAACCUCUACACCCAGCCUGGGGCUCGAACUCACAACCCCAAGAUCAGGAGUGGCUUGCUCUUCCAACUGUGCCUGCCAGGCACCCACAGUGGCUCCUAUAUUUAGGAUGUGGUACUGUGCACUGUGGAACCUGUGGACCAUUGCCCCUCCGUGGCUUCCUUCUCAACUCCAUCUUUACAUACCUGCCCCAAAAGGUCCUCAAUCAUAAAAGGCUGCAUUCCACUGCUGUCGGUGAGAGGUGACGGUGAUCUGGACUGGAGCUGGGGAGGUGGAAAUGGAAAGAAGCAAUCUGAUCUCAGAUAUAUUGUGGAGGAAUUUCCAAUAGGACUAGCUGAAGGUCUGGAUAUAGGAAGUAAGAGAGAAAGAAGCAGGAACCAAGGAAGAAAACUUCUAGGUCUCUAACU
rnacentral:lncRNA from 1 species